GCGAACGCUGGCGGCGUGCUUAACACAUGCAAGUCGCACGGAAAGGCCCUGCUUUUGUGGGGUGCUCGAGUGGCGAACGGGUGAGUAACACGUGAGUAACCUGCCCUUGACUUUGGGAUAACUUCAGGAAACUGGGGCUAAUACCGGAUAGGAGCUCCUGCUGCAUGGUGGGGGUUGGAAAGUUUCGGCGGUUGGGGAUGGACUCGCGGCUUAUCAGCUUGUUGGUGGGGUAGUGGCUUACCAAGGCUUUGACGGGUAGCCGGCCUGAGAGGGUGACCGGCCACAUUGGGACUGAGAUACGGCCCAGACUCCUACGGGAGGCAGCAGUGGGGAAUAUUGCACAAUGGGCGGAAGCCUGAUGCAGCAACGCCGCGUGCGGGAUGACGGCCUUCGGGUUGUAAACCGCUUUCGCCUGUGACGAAGCGUGAGUGACGGUAAUGGGUAAAGAAGCACCGGCUAACUACGUG
rnacentral:rRNA from 1 species